UAUGUCUGCACAGCUAGCAGCUUACAGAGUCACACAGUCACGCCACGCCAGGGUAACAGUGAGCUGAAGUGAUGUGUGACUGAUUCUAAAAUCGAGCAGAGAUCUGACGAUAGGACGAUGGGGGACCAUAACAUAGACGAUAGGAACAGGAUUCCCAAUCCUUUGAAAUCAGGAGCAUCAAACAUAAAAGCUUUUGUGUCUUUCAAGAACAGCACGGAUCGAGUGGUUGAUGUGGUAUGGAUGAACUUCAACGGGCAGAGACAGUCGUUCACUGAGAAUGGCCUGGCCCAGGGCCAGCAGCUGAACAUGCAUACGUAUGAGGGCCACCCUUGGAUAGCCCGUGACAAGUUAACCGCUGACAUGCUGGAGUUCGUUGAUCACGGCGUCGGGAAGCUAGUCUACAUGCCUGAGCCCUGGGACGGUAGGAGAGGCUACAGGGCUCCCAUCGUCAAGAUACGAGUACCAAUGUUCAGCUUGUAUGAGAGGUCAUUGCAGGUCGUCCGGCAGCUUCUCCAAAACAAGGACGACGUGGAUGAACUUGAGAUUCCAAAACAGGUCAAGUACGAUCUCUCACAUGUACGGGACAUCAUUCCACACGCUCCGUGAUGUAACCAUGGAUAUAUAAGACAAUGGAUAGGUACACUUGCUGAAGAUCCUGAAAUAGGUCAAGAACGAUCUCUCACAUGUACGGGAUAUCAUACCACACGCUGCGUGAUGUAACCAUGGAUAUAUAAGACAAUGGAUAGGUACACUUGCUGAAGAUCCUGAUAUAGAUCAAGUACGAUCUCUCACAUGUAUGGGACAUCAUACCGCAUGCCCCGUGAUGUGACCAUGGAUACAAAAGACAAUGGAUAGGUACACUUGCUGAAGAUCCUGAAACAGGUCAUGUACGAUCUCUCACAUGUACGGGACAUCAUACCACAUGGUUCGUGAUGUGACCAUGGAUAUAAAAGACAAUGGAUAGGUACACUUGCUGAAGAUCCUGAAACAGGUCAAAUACGAUCUCUCACAUGUACGGGACAUCAUACCACAUGGUUCGUGAUGUGACCAUGGAUAUAAAAGACAAUGGAUAGGUACACUUGCUGAAGAUCCUUAAACAGGUCAUGUACGAUCUCUCACAUGUACGGGAUAUCAUUCCAAAUGCUCCGUGAUGUGACCAUGGAUACAAAAGACAAUGGAUAGGUACACUUGCUGAAGAUCCUGAAACAGGUCAUGUACGAUCUCUCACAUGUACGGGACAUCAUACCACAUGGUUCGUGAUGUGACCAUGGAUAUAAAAGACAAUGGAUAGGUACACUUGCUGAAGAUCCUGAAACAGGUCAAAUACGAUCUCUCACAUGUACGGGACAUCAUACCACAUGGUUCGUGAUGUAACCAUAGAUAUAUAAGACAAUGGAUAGGUACACUUGCUGAAGAUACCGAAAUAGGUCAAGUAUGAUGUGUAUGUGAGAACAAUCUUCUAACCAUAGAUAUACAACACAAUGGAUAUGGAUGUUUUCUAGAGAUCUCAAAGAGAGUAUACAUGUAUAGUGUACAUUCUUCUAUGUGCUAUCUUUCUGCAUUAUCCAUGGCAAGAUCAGCCUUCGAAUCAUGGAUACAUGGGACAAUGAUGUCAGGUGAUCUUUCACAUGUACAGGACAACCAUGCAAGAACAUUCUAACCAUGGAUAUACAUGUAUAUACAGCACUUGAUAGGUCACACCUGCUGUAAGGUGAUGCCAAAACAUCUAGCUAAUAGUGUACUUGUACUUUACAUGUACAUGUAUGUUGUACAUUUAUGUUGGUACCUUACCCCAUUUAAUUCUGUGCCAUAUUAGGAGUGUGUGUAUUUUCUGUAGUUUAUAUAUUUUUUGGUUAAAGACUCAUCUCUUCGAACUUGUAUCCUUCUCUUUGGAAGCUUAAAGAAACCUUGUCUCAUCGUCUUCCCCCAGUAUGGUAUCUGCGCAUGUGCUGACCUGCGCAGUGUGGGAGAAAGCUCGCCAUCUACUGUCGAACAUCGUAUUUGCAAUAGGGUCAGUUGCGACAGUUUCUUGCCGUGAAAAUUGAAAAGGGCCGUCCUUAACAAUUUCUGAAACUUCCUGGUUUUUAAACUACUAGGGAAUGGGAAAGAGAGAGGGGGG